GACGUAGGGCGCGAGCGUUGUCCGGAUUUAUUGGGCGUAAAGAGCUCGUAGGCGGCUUGUCGCGUCGUUCGUGAAAUCCUGGAGCUCAACUCCAGAACUGCCUUCGAUACUGGAGAGCUCGAGUCCGGGAGAGGUGAGUGGAACUGCGAGUGUAGAGGUGAAAUUCGUAGAUAUUCGCAAGAACACCGGUGGCGAAGGCGGCCAACUGGACGAAUACUGACGCUGAGACUCGAAAGCGUGGGGAGCAAACAGG
rnacentral:rRNA from 1 species